rnacentral:rRNA from 1 species
CACGUAGGGCGCAAGCGUUGUCCGGAAUUAUUGGGCGUAAAGAGCUCGUAGGUGGUUUGUUACGUCUGCUGUGAAAACCUAGGGCUUAACCCUGGGCUUGCAGUGGAUACGGGCAGACUAGAGGUAGGUAGGGGAGAAUGGAAUUCCUGGUGUAGCGGUGAAGUGCGCAGAUAUCAGGAGGAACACCGAUGGCGAAGGCAGGUCUCUGGGCCGAUACUGACGCUGAGGAGCGAAAGCGUGGGGAGCGAACAGG